AGGGAAAGAAGCUGGUAAAACAAUAGAGGAGCUGCCCUGCAGGAUUCUUCUGGCUUUGCCCUAAAAGGAAUCUUAGAAGUAGAUGGCACUGACUAAGUCCGUAUCCCAGGAGAAACAAAUAAUUCUGAUGCCUUUUGGAACUCCCUUGUACGAGUCUUCGCCAGCGUGUUGUGGCACUGUCCUAGGAACAGACCAGGAAGUAAACGACUUUUCAGUGCUGUUGCUGCAGACUCUUGGGAAAUCUGAACGCUGCUGAAUGGGACCAUAUAAUUAUAGCUGGUCACUAAUUUCAACAAGUUGCCUUUGCAAUUCAGGGUUAUAAAAUACGCUUAUCCAGCCUCCAUAAGCAAAUGUGCAAAUCUGAAAGUUGCAGUUCAAGAAAUCCACUCAAAAACACCAAUUAAAGGACUAACAAACCCUCUCUCAUCCUUAAGUACCUGAACCCUUCCAAACAUACUUAGGGGUGCAGGAUUCUACAUCCUAUUAGGAACAUGCUAAGACAGCCUGGCCUCCUAACUGGAUUUUUUUAAGGUAUUCACGAAGUGCUGUGAGAGAAAUGGACUUUGGAACUCAGAAUGGAAGAAUGGUGGCUCUGCAAACUAUGGGCAUGUGCAGUGCUUAAAAGCCAACAGUGUGUGCACAAUUUGACCCAGCAGCCAGCCAAGGACAUGGACACCUUUACUCACCUGGAAAUUUAUUCUUGCCUGCAACAUUCAAUCCUGCAACAUCAGUCCUUUUCCUUGUAAAUCUGAAUAGUUCCCAGGAAGUUACCUCAGACUAUUGAGGAAAUGCUGCGUGCUAUACAAAUGGCACAGCGGCACCCUUACUAAAGGGAUUGUUUCUAAAGACUUUCUUUUCAAAUCUAAUAUCAAAAUAAUACAUUCUGUCCGUGUCCAGUGUGUUUCUCUGGCAGCAAUACCACCCUUGUUAUAUGUGCAUUGCAGAAGUAAUAGCUGUCAGCAGUUCCCACGCAGUAGCAUCUAAGAUACUUAUCUAUCAUUUAAAGUACUUAUCAUUGUAAGCGCUGAUGAGACCAGUGAUAGCUUGGAUACUGUUAUGUGCAAACUGUAGGCAAAUGCUGACUUUUACGAUGGCAUUGUCUGAAGGUUUUAAUGAGUGUGAUAGCUGUGUAUUACUGACCCUACAAAUUUUCUGUCACUGUAGCUUGGUACUACCUUUAACUUUCUUUGCCCCCCCCCUUCAAUACCUUCUGCUUUUUAGUAUGCCAGUACUAUACUCCUGCUAAGCAGCUGCCUGUUUGGCAUGACUCAUGCCAGACAUUUGGCAAUUUUGGACAAAUAAGGAUAUGCUAUUUAUCCCAAAUAGCUGACUCCCUUGUAUAGCACAUUAUCCUGAAUAAUGAAAGCACUAUGGGCCUAAAAAUCCUUUACAAUUCUUCUGUCUGCAUUCACAUAUUAUAGUAAAGAAACCAGGAAAUAACAUGUAAAUAACUAUUAAUGCAGCAGAUGAUGAGAGAUGCACUUUCAGAAUCAGAAUGUGAUUUGACCUGAUCACACCUGCACUGAAGCCAAUGUGAAGACCAGUCUUGCCCUCAUCGGGUGCGGUGUCCAGCUAAUAGCUGUAUGACUCACUGGCCUUCAGAGCCCAGUGACGUAAACCACAUGGAGCACUCAGAAAAGGUACAAAUACCCUGGCGGCCUCACCAGAACUGUUACUGUUUCUUUGGUCAUAGCUGGUCAGCUUGCAAUGAAAACAUUUCUGAAUUUUUUUUAAUCUGUUGAUCUACAGACUGGAAAGAGAAACUUGAUUUUGAAGAUCUAUAGGAGCUGUUCAGCCAAGGGGAACAAAAAAAUCAGACAGUUCAGGUAGAAACUAGGACUUUCUUCACUCUGUUUACCUCAGGAUGUCAUGCGCAGGAUGUGAAAUCUGAAAGGUGUUCUGAGAGGUUAUAGUGUCUCAGGCACAGAUCAGAGCGACUUGAAAGAACUUUCUGUCUUGAUAUAGACCCUCCUGGGAGAAGUUUUUUGACUUUUGUUUUUUUGUUGGGUUUGGUGAUCUUUUAAUGGUCCUAUUGUAAUUUAUAGUGGAUUGUUGCCUAAUGAUGAAUGAUAGCUUGAUGUAGUUUGCUAAUGAUGGAUUUGGUUACACUGUGUGCGUUGUAGAGCGAGAGAUGAUUUUAUCUUAUUCUGAUGGAGGAAUCAGGUUACCAAGAUGUGUUUGUAGGUCUUUGUCAAUUCACCAGUGGGGCUACCAGUUUAAAAUACAGGAAUGUUCUGCUUUGUCUUCUAAAUCUUACUAAAUUUGAAAACAGCUUUCAAACUUGCUUAUUUCAGAACAUUGCUGUUACUAUCCUUUGGGCCUAUUUGUCAUCAUUUGCAUUAAUCAAAUUUCCAUUGGAUUCAGUGGGGGGCGGGGGGGGAGAGAGUGGAGUAUGUAAAGAAUGUGAGGUCAGACUCAGAGAGAUAGAUAUAUAGAUGGACCCACAGCAGGGCAAGUGCCCUUGGUGAAUGUAAGGGUAAGCUGGUGAUAGCCAGUGGUAGUAGCUAGCAAAGGGAGUUGGUAGUGAGUGAAAGACUCUCAUGGAUUAACCUGCCAGGCUUGUUUUUGGAAUCUGUUCUGUAUGCACUUUAAUGAUUCAUGUGCUUCCCUUCCCCCUCCCCGUCUUGCUUGAACAGCUUUCAUUUAUUUUGCUUGUGCUUAGGAAAACAUGUUUUACAUUUUUAACAUCCUUUAUCAUUUCCCAAGACUUAGUGUGUUAUUUUAUGAGUUAACCAGAAGGGUAAUUUUUUUGUUGUACUUGUAAUCUAAUUGGAAACUAUGCCAAUUUCCUAUCAAAUUAAAUCAAUAUAAUUUGGAUACAUGUAUAUGUAGCUAGCUCAUUAGUGUUCACUAGUAUUAUUCUGUUCACUGCUUUU